rnacentral:rRNA from 1 species
UCGGAGGCAGCAGUGGGGAAUUUUCCGCAAUGGGCGAAAGCCUGACGGAGCAAUACCGCGUGAGGGAGGAAGGCUCUUGGGUUGUAAACCUCUUUUCUCAGGGAAUAACAAAAUGAAGGUACCUGAGGAAUCAGCAUCGGCUAACUCCGUGCCAGCAGCCGCGGUAAUACGGAGGAUGCAAGCGUUAUCCGGAAUGAUUGGGCGUAAAGCGUCCGCAGGUGGCUAUGUAAGUCUGCUGUUAAAGAGUGAGGCUUAACCUCAUAAAAGCAGUGGAAACUACAUAGCUAGAGUGCGUUCGGGGCAGAAGGAAUUCCUGGUGUAGCGGUGAAAUGCGUAGAGAUCAGGAAGAACACCGGUGGCGAAGGCGUUCUGCUAGGCCGCAACUGACACUGAGGGACGAAAGCUAGGGGAGCGAAUGGGAUUAGAUACCCCCGUAGUCCU